rnacentral:snRNA from 1 species
GUGCUUGCUUUGGCAGCACAUAUAUGAUACAGAGAAGAUUAGUAUGGCCCCUGUGCAAAGAUGAUAUGCAAAUUUGUGAAGUGUUCCAUAUUAAA